CUUUACACAAGAGAUCUAGCAGAGCGUGGUCACUGCAUAUUGGAAUCAUCCUGGAGACAAAGAUCUAAACCAUUUUAUUACUCCUCCCUGAGUCUCUGCUUCUUUUCUCCCAAGAGGCACAGGUGAGGCCUGUAGCUCCCCUUCAUUACCUUCACAUGCUGCCAAGCUCUUCAGAAGCUUGAAAAUGCUGACUUGAGCACAGGUCUGUUUCCUGAGUGAUGUGCUGGGCUGUAGGGCUAGAGUGGCUGCAGCACAAGAGUAGGGCUGCUCUUCAGGGGGUCCCAAGGUUCUGAACAGAUGCAUGUGCUUAACUAAGAGCGCAGAGAAGUUAUUUUUGUGAUCUAGUUGCAAGGGUUUCUUGGGGCCUGUGGGCUUCUGUAGCUCCUGUGGUAAUGAGAUGGAUUGUCUGUCCAGACAGCAACAGGCAUAGAGUGUCCUCCUUGCUGCUGAAUGGGCAAAGGUCAAUUCCACAGCAUGACUGAGGAUGGGAGCAGGACUGUAGAAGAAAAGCCCUGGGAAGGAGCUGAACCUCGGGCUGGAGUGCGGUGAAACCUCCCAAGAGGACAAGUCUGUGGCAUUUCACUGCAGUUGCAGAGAAGGAUCUAAAGUGCUUGACAGCAGGAUCAGGAAGAGCUUAAGAGCAGGACAGGCAUGUAAUGAAGUUAUAUGUCUUUAAAGGAAAAAUGCUGACAACAUGCUUGCUCACAGAAAGCCUUUUGAGCCAGUGCCAAGAAUUUACUCAAAACUGGUAAGAAGUCAGAGCUGGGAUCUGAGGGCAGUGCUGAGUUUUCCUCUACUUCCUUGCUUUAUUUCAGUGUUCCAGUAGUUGAGGAGAUGCUCAGUAUGCCUGCUGCCUUCUGCUUUGAGGCAUGGGUCAGAGCCUGCCUUUGUCUUUUGAAGCGGGCAGUCACUGGUGUCUGACUGGGUGAGGAUCUGCUGGAGUUCCUGUGUUUGCUUUCUUGGUGUCUGUUACUCUUCAGUCUGGCAAGUGUGACUUUAGAACAAUAUUAUUUGGACUGAACUAACGCAGCCAGG